rnacentral:rRNA from 1 species
AAUGAACGCUGGCGGCGUGCUUAACACAUGCAAGUCGGACGAGAAAGCCGGAAGCUUGCUUUUGGCGAGUAAAGUGGCGCACGGGUGAGUAACGCGUGGGUAAUCUACCUCCGAAUUUGGGAUAACACUUCGAAAGGGGUGCUAAUACCGGAUGAUAUCCAUUGGAUUUUGGUCUGGUGGAUCAAAGAUAGCCGAUCCUUGGAAGCUAUUGUUUGGAGAUGAGCCCGCGUCCCAUUAGCUAGUUGGUAGGGUAAGGGCCUACCAAGGCGACGAUGGGUAGCUGGUCUGAGAGGAUGAUCAGCCACACUGGAACUGGAACACGGUCCAGACUCCUACGGGAGGCAG